UCCCCCAAUGACGAUGUUUAUGAUUCUAAUGGCAGGUCAAUUCUCCAUAGUUUCUUCUUACUAAGAUGGUUCAGUCGAAGGAGGUAACUUUGAUGGAGCUUCAUGUUGUCCUUUUUGAUGCUUCAAGAACCUAUCUAGUCACCCAUGCCGAAUGAACUCUUCAAUUUUAUCUUGUAGUUGGAUACGUUCCUUGAUGUCAUGAUUGUGAUCCCAAUGAUAUAGGCAAUAUUUGUUUGGGUCACAUCAGGUCAGUAGGGCUCACAUCCUCCUUGCUCUUAAUAGCUGUUCUUUUAUCUCCAUC
rnacentral:lncRNA from 1 species